rnacentral:lncRNA from 1 species
ACUCACAAGGCAAUCUACCCACUAGGAGGGAAGCUAGGGCAUGCAGUGAUCCUUGAGGCCAUGAUAUGAUAUGAUAUGGGCCAUGAGGGAUCUUAGGGCCAAAAUUGGGGUCUUACACUUAGGGAUUUUGUUUUAAAAUGAACCCACUCAUAUUUUGGAAAUUUUUUAGCCGAACUACGGCGUUCUGAUCCUUACCUUCCAUGGAGAGGUACGUAGGCAACGGGUUCAUCCGUUCAAACACAAAAAUAAAAACUUGUAUAUUCUUUUCUCA